rnacentral:rRNA from 1 species
GCUUGUCUCAAAGAUUAAGCCAUGCAUGUCUAAGUAUAAAUAUCUAUACUGUGAAACUGCGUAUGGCUCAUUAAAUCAGUUAUAGUUUAUUUGAUGAUACCCCACUACAUGGAUAACCGUAGUAAUUCUAGAGCUAAUACAUGCGUCAAAUCCCGACUUUUUGGAAGGGAUGUAUUUAUUAGAUAACAAACCAAUAUUCCUCGUGUCUAUUGUGAUGACUCAUAAUAACUGAUCGAAUCGCAUGGGCCUUGCCCGCGAUACAUCAUUCAAGUUUCUGCCCCAUCAGCUUUCGAUGGUAGUGUAUUGGACUACCAUGGCUUUAACGGGUAACGGAGGAUUAGGGUUCGAUUCCGGAGAGGGAGCCUGAGAAACGGCUACCACAUCCAAGGAAGGCAGCAGG